GUAGUUUGACUUUUUUUAUUAUUAUUAUACAUUGAUUGUAGACCGGAAAUUAAGACUUGAUGACUGCUCAGUUUCCGUGUUUGUGCUUUGGAGAUAAUGAUUUUUAUUGUUGAAUUAUCUGAUUAGCAGGAGAUAUAUUAGUUCUGAGCAGGCCUGGUUUCCUGCUUUCUUAUCAUAAAUGAACAAAUACACGCCUCUGCGUGCAAACUGUUGAUUAGAUUUAGUGACAUUCAACUCAGCCAGUAACGGUCAGAGGUUUCUUUAAGAAUGUCCGAUAUGCUAAUAAUAAAGGAUAAUUUCAUGGACAAGGUUUUAUUUAAUUUAGUUUGUUUUUACAACUGGAAUAUAUGAACUCAAAAUAAAAUAAACCACAUGGACUAUUACUUUCAACUCCAGAAGAGACAACAGGAAUAAACAACUUUUGAAGGGUAACGCUUGUUGCAAACGCACUUCCGGGUUGGAUGAAAACAUUGCUGAUGAAAAUUCAAGUCAAGCUCGAAUUCCCAUCCAGUGCGAGGAUAAUCCCGAGGGUCAAAAUGGACUGAUGGUGUACGACAGGGAAGCUUUUCCUAUGAAGAGAAUCCUCUGUCCAGCCGGAGCAGAAGAUCUUCCUGAAGCACAAGAAAGAAAACAGCAGUUGAUCAUCUCUACGCAGAUUCAGAAAUUUGGGCAUCUGCUUUAGGAGCUGCUUUAAUCUCUGUUGAUUGGGAAAUUGUUAAAAAAAAACACCUUUAUUUGACAGUGAUGUUUGAUACAUGAUGUUUUAAAAACAUUAAAAAGAAACAUGUAUGAUUAUGAAGAGUAGAGGGGGAGUUAUUUAAACAGUUUGUCUUUCAGGUAUGCUGUGCUGUUUGUUCCAAUAGUAUCUAGAUGUAGACUUGGAUUUCCAAGAUGAGAUUGCUUAUCUCAGACAUGCAAUGUCAGAUACAAUGUACUCAAUGGAGCUAGUGUAGGGUAGGGUAGUGGAAGGGUUAGUUGUGCGUGCAUGCAGUUUCAGCUUGCAGACCCCUCUCGUUUGUUCAGUCUACACUGAAAUUUUGCAGUUAAUUUACCCAUCC
rnacentral:lncRNA from 1 species